UACGGGGGGAGCAAGCGUUGUUCGGAUUCACUGGGCGUAAAGGGUGCGUAGGUGGCAUGGCCAGUUUGAUGUGAAAGCUCAGGGCUUAACCCUGAAAUGGCAUUGAAUACUGCUGUGCUGGAGGUUUGGAGGGGGGACUGGAAUUCUUGGUGUAGCAGUGAAAUGCGUAGAUAUCAAGAGGAACACCAGUGGCGAAGGCGAGUCCCUGGACAACACCUGACACUGAGGCACGAAAGCCGGGGGAGCAAACAGG
rnacentral:rRNA from 1 species